UACGGGGGGAGCAAGCGUUGUUCGGAUUUACUGGGCGUAAAGGGCGCGUAGGCGGUCGUGACAAGUCACUUGUGAAAUCCCCGGGCUUAACCUGGGAAUGGCAUUUGGGACUGCAAGGCUGGAGUUUGGCAGAGGAGACUGGAAUUCCUGGUGUAGCAGUGAAGUGCGUAGAUAUCAGGAGGAAUACCGAUGGCGAAGGCAGGUCUCUGGGCUAUAACUGACGCUCAUGCACGAAAGCGUGGGGAGCAAACAGG
rnacentral:rRNA from 1 species